rnacentral:rRNA from 1 species
AUUGAACGCUGGCGGCAUGCUUUACACAUGCAAGUCGAACGGGGUGAGGGGGCAACUUCUCAUUCAGUGGCGAACGGGUGAGUAAUGCAUCGGAACGUGUCCCGUAGUGGGGGAUAACUCGGCGAAAGCCGUGCUAAUACCGCAUAUGCUCUACGGAGGAAAGUGGGGGACCUGAAAGGGCCUCACGCUAUGGGAGCGGCCGAUGUCCGAUUAGCUUGUUGGCGGGGAAUGGCCCACCAAGGCGACGAUCGGUAGCUGGUCUGAGAGGAUGAUCAGCCACACUGGGACUGAGACACGGCCCAGACUCCUACGGGAGGCAGCAGUGGGGAAUUUUGGACAAUGGGGGCAACCCUGAUCCAGCCAUGCCGCGUGCGGGAAGAAGGCCU